rnacentral:rRNA from 1 species
UUACGGUCAAAUCACGCUGAAAACACCGGUUCUCGUUCUAUCACCGAAGUUAAGCAUCGUAGAGCCAGGUCAGUAGUUAGAUGGGGGACCGCUUGGGAACACCUGGUACUGUAAG